AAUAGAUACCCAGGUAGUCCACGCCGUAAACGAUGGAUACUAGGUGUAGGGGGUAUCGACCCCCCUGUGCCGGAGUUAACGCAAUAAGUAUCCCGCCUGGGGAGUACGGCCGCAAGGCUGAAACUCAAAGGAAUUGACGGGGGCCCGCACAAGCAGCGGAGCAUGUGGUUUAAUUCGAAGCAACGCGAAGAACCUUACCAGGGCUUGACAUCCCUCUGCAAGGUAUAGAGAUAUACCCCUUCUUCGGAACAGAGGAGACAGGUGGUGCAUGGUUGUCGUCAGCUCGUGUCGUGAGAUGUUGGGUUAAGUCCCGCAACGAGCGCAACCCUUAUCUUUAGUUGCCAUCAGGUAAUGCUGGGCACUCUAGAGAGACUGCCGGGGAUAACUCGGAGGAAGGUGGGGAUGACGUCAAAUCAUCAUGCCCCUUAUGUCCUGGGCUACACACGUGCUACAGUGGCCUGAAACAAAGGGAAGCGAAGCCGCAAGGUGAAGCAAAACCCAUAAACCAGGUCCCAGUUCGGAUUGUGGCUGCAACUCGCCA
rnacentral:rRNA from 1 species